AGUCAACAUGCCCAAAGGACUUGGAUAACCUCGGGAAACUGAGGAUAAACCGCGAUAGGCCAAGGUUUCUGGAAUGAGCCCUGGCCGAAAUCUAUAUGGCCUUUGGAUUGGACUGCGGCCGAUCAGGCUGUUGGUGAGGUAAUGGCCCACCAAACCUGUAACCGGUACGGGCUUUGAGAGAAGGAGCCCGGAGAUGGGCACUGAGACAAGAGCCCAGGCCCUAUGGGGCGCAGCAGGCGCGAAACCUCUGCAAUAGGCGAAAGCCUGACAGGGUUACUCUGAGUGAUGCCCGCUAAGGGUAUCUUUUGGCACCUCUAAAAAUGGUGCAGAAUAAGGGGUGGGCAAGUCUGGUGUCAGCCGCCGCGGUAAUACCAGCACCCCGAGUUGUCGGGACGAUUAUUGGGCCUAAAGCAUCCGUAGCCUGUUCUGCAAGUCCUCCGUUAAAUCCACCUGCUCCACGGAUGGGCUGC
rnacentral:rRNA from 1 species